CCUACGGGAGGCAGCAGUGAGGAAUAUUGGACAAUGGGCGCAAGCCUGAUCCAGCCAUGCCGCGUGCAGGAAGAAGCAUCUAUGGUGUGUAAACUGCUUUUGUACAGGAAGAAACACUCCCUCGUGAGGGAGCUUGACGGUACUGUAAGAAUAAGGACCGGCUAACUCCGUGCCAGCAGCCGCGGUAAUACGGAGGGUCCGAGCGUUAUCCGGAAUCAUUGGGUUUAAAGGGUCCGUAGGCGGUUUAAUAAGUCAGUGGUGAAAUCUGGUCGCUCAACGAUCAAACGGCCAUUGAUACUGUUAGACUUGAAUUAUAAGGAAGUAACUAGAAUAUGUAGUGUAGCGGUGAAAUGCUUAGAUAUUACAUGGAAUACCAAUUGCGAAGGCAGGUUGCUACUUAUGGAUUGACGCUGAUGGACGAAAGCGUGGGGAGCGAACAGGAUUAGAUACCCUGGUAGUCCACGCCGUAAACGAUGGAUACUAGCUGUUCGGAGCAAUCUGNGUGNGUAGAGAAGUAGAUAAGUAAUACCACCUCGGGAGGUACGGUUCGUCGAAGAAGUAGAAACGUACGAAAGAAAGUUAGUACGGACGUGAGACGUAGACCGACGGACGACGACGAGGGAGGAGGGAGG
rnacentral:rRNA from 1 species